AUUGAACGCUGGCGGCAGGCCUAACACAUGCAAGUCGAACGAGUGGCGGACGGGUGAGUAGUGUCUGGGAAACUGCCUGAUGGAGGGGGAUAACUACUGGAAACGGUCGCUAAUACCGCAUACCAUCGGAUGUGCCCAGAUGGGAAUAGCUAGGAGGAGGUGUAACGGCUCACCUAGGCGACGAUCCCUAGCUGGUCUGAGAGGAUGAACAGCCACACUGGAACUGAGACACGGUCCAGACUCCUACGGGAGGCAGCAGUGGGGAAUAUUGCACAAUGGGCGCAAGCCUGAUGCAGCCAUGCCGCGUGUAGGAAGAAGGCCUUAGGGUUGUAAAGUACUUUCAGCGGGGAGGCGUUACCCGCAGAAGAAGCACCGGCUAACUCCGUGCCAGCAGCCGCGGUAAUAC
rnacentral:rRNA from 1 species